UACAGAGGUCCCAAGCGUUGUUCGGAUUUACUGGGCGUAAAGGGUGCGUAGGAGGCCGGGAAAGUCGGGUGUGAAAUCCUGUCGCUCAACGACAGAAUGGCAUUCGAUACUGCUCGGCUAGAGGACCGGAGAGGAGAACGGAAUUCCUGGUGUAGCGGUGAAAUGCGUAGAUAUCAGGAGGAACACCGAUAGCGAAGGCAGUUCUCUGGAAGGUUCCUGACUCUGAGGCACGAAGGCCAGGGGAGCAAAC
rnacentral:rRNA from 1 species